rnacentral:rRNA from 1 species
CCUACGGGAGGCAGCAGUGAGGAAUAUUGGUCAAUGGGCGUAAGCCUGAACCAGCCAAGUCGCGUGAGGGAUGAAGGUUCUAUGGAUCGUAAACCUCUUUUAUAAGGGAAUAAAGUGCGGGACGUGUCCCGUUUUGUAUGUACCUUAUGAAUAAGGAUCGGCUAACUCCGUGCCAGCAGCCGCGGUACUACGGAGGAUCCGAGCGUUAUCCGGAUUUAUUUGGUUUAAAGGGUGCGGAGGCGGCCUUUUAAGUCAGCGGUGAAAGUCUGUGGCUCAACCAUAGAAUUGCCGUUGAAACUGGGAGGAUUGAGGAUGUUUGAGGCAGGAGGAAUGCGUGGUGUAGCGGUGAAAUGCUUAGAUAUCACGCAGAACCCCGAUUGCGAAGGCAGCCUGCCAAGCCAUGACUGACGCUGAUGCACGAAAGCGUGGGGAUCAAACAGGAUUAGAUACCCCUGUAGUC